AUCCUACUGAAGUGUCCCAAACGGGACGAAACGCAGGUCCUGGAU
rnacentral:hammerhead_ribozyme from 1 species